GAGAGUUGCAAGAUCAGUUUGUUGAUCGAAUUUGUGUAAAAAUGAAGCUAAUCCUCUGUUUUUUGUCUCUAAUUCUGGCCUUUGGUUUGAUUUCUGCACUUCCACGCCCGCAAUCUAACUCUGACAAUGAGUGUUGCCUUCCCGACUACAACCCCAAAGGAUGCAUUCCAGAGUGCACAGAAUUGGAAAUGCUGAUAACAAGAAUCUUUCUUCCCGACGAGGAAGUGAAAUCCGCCGAUCAAUUCGAAAAGAACUUGCAGGAACAAAUUCAUCCACAGAAGCCAGGAUUGUGAAUUACUCCUCGAAAUCAUUUUAUAUGCAAAAUGCAUGAAAUAAAUGUAAAUUUCCCACUU